UCAAGAAUAUGGAAUGUGUUUGCAUCAUGAUGCUGUUUCACAAGAAGGGCACUCCACAAAGAAAUUAGCUGAAAUACAAACUCCAGGUAAUGUAAUAAGAAAGAAAUAUUUUGUUACUCAAGAAGGAAAUAUAAAGAGAUAUUCACCAUUUGGAAUGUAUUCU